rnacentral:rRNA from 1 species
GGUGAACGCUAGCUACAGGCUUAACACAUGCAAGCCCUGGGGCAGCAUGGUCUUAGCUUGCUAAGGCCGAUGGCGACCGGCGCACGGGUGAGUAACACGUAUCCAACCUGCCGUCUACUCUUGGACAGCCUUCUGAAAGGAAGAUUAAUACAAGAUGGCAUCAUGAGUCCACAUGUUCACAUGAUUAAAGGUAUUCCGGUAGACGAUGGGGAUGCGUUCCAUUAGAUAGUAGGCGGGGUAACGGCCCACCUAGUCUUCGAUGGAUAGGGGUUCUGAGAGGAAGGUCCCCCACAUUGGAACUGAGACACGGUCCAAACUCCUACGGGAGGCAGCAGUGAGGAAUAUUGGUCAAUGGGCGAGAGCCUGAACCAGCCAAGUAGCGUGAAGGAUGACUGCCCUAUGGGUUGUAAACUUCUUUUAUAAAGGAAUAAAGUCGGGUAUGGAUACCCGUUUGCAUGUACUUUAUGAAUAAGGAUCGGCUAACUCCGUGCCAGCAGCCGCGGUAAUACGGAGGAUCCGAGCGUUAUCCGGAUUUAUUGGGUUUAAAGGGAGCGUAGAUGGAUGUUUAAGUCAGUUGUGAAAGUUUGCGGCUCAACCGUAAAAUUGCAGUUGAUACUGGAUAUCUUGAGUGCAGUUGAGGCAGGCGGAAUUCGUGGUGUAGCGGUGAAAUGCUUAGAUAUCACGAAGAACUCCGAUUGCGAAGGCAGCCUGCUAAGCUGCAACUGACAUUGAGGCUCGAAAGUGUGGGUAUCAAACAGGAUUAGAUACCCUGGUAGUCCACACGGUAAACGAUGAAUACUCGCUGUUUGCGAUAUACUGCAAGCGGCCAAGCGAAAGCGUUAAGUAUUCCACCUGGGGAGUACGCCGGCAACGGUGAAACUCAAAGGAAUUGACGGGGGCCCGCACAAGCGGAGGAACAUGUGGUUUAAUUCGAUGAUACGCGAGGGACCUUACCCGGGCUUAAAUUGCAGAUGAAUUACGGUGAAAGCCGUAAGCCGCAAGGCAUCUGUGAAGGUGCUGCAUGGUUGUCGUCAGCUCGUGCCGUGAGGUGUCGGCUUAAGUGCCAUAACGAGCGCAACCCUUGUUGUCAGUUACUAACAGGUUCCGCUGAGGACUCUGACAAGACUGCCAUCGUAAGAUGUGAGGAAGGUGGGGAUGACGUCAAAUCAGCACGGCCCUUACGUCCGGGGCUACGCACGUGUUACAAUGGGGGGUACAGAGGGCCGCUACCACGCGAGUGGAUGCCAAUCCCCAAAACCUCUCUCAGUUCGGACUGGAGUCUGCAACCCGACUCCACGAAGCUGGAUUCGCUAGUAAUCGCGCAUCAGCCACGGCGCGGUGAAUACGUUCCCGGGCCUUGUACACACCGCCCGUCAAGCCAUGGGAGCCGGGAGUACAAGAAGUGC